rnacentral:rRNA from 1 species
UGGGGAAUAUUGCACAAUGGGCGCAAGCCUGAUGCAGCCAUGCCGCGUGUAUGAAGAAGGCCUUCGGGUUGUAAAGUACUUUCAGCGGGGAGGAAGGUGUUGAGGUUAAUAACCUCAGCAAUUGACGCUACCCGCAGAAGAAGCACCGGCUAACUCCGUGCCAGCAGCCGCGGUAAUACGGAGGGUGCAAGCGUUAAUCGGAAUUACUGGGCGUAAAGCGCACGCAGGCGGUCUGUCAAGUCGGAUGUGAAAUCCCCGGGCUCAACCUGGGAACUGCAUUCGAAACUGGCAGGCUAGAGUCUUGUAGAGGGGGGUAGAAUUCCAGGUGUAGCGGUGAAAUGCGUAGAGAUCUGGAGGAAUACCGGUGGCGAAGGCGGCCCCCUGGACAAAGACUGACGCUCAGGUGCGAAAGCGUGGGGAGCAAACA